CUAAGAAUCUUCCGCAAUGGGCGCAAGCCUGACGGAGCGACGCCGCGUGGACGAUGAAGGCCGUAAGGUUGUAAAGUCCUUUUCUCUAUGAGGAAUAAGGGUGGGAGUGGAAAGCCCAUCUGAUGACGGUAAUGGAGGAAUAAGCACCGGCUAACUACGUG
rnacentral:rRNA from 1 species